rnacentral:rRNA from 1 species
AACGAACGCUGGCGGCAUGCCUAACACAUGCAAGUCGAACGAGACCUUCGGGUCUAGUGGCGCACGGGUGCGUAACGCGGGGGAACCUGCCCGUAGGUUCGGAAUAACUCCCCGAAAGGGGUGCUAAUACCGGAUAAGGUCUUCGGACCAAAGAUUUAUCGCCUUUGGCUGGGCCCGCGUUGGAUUAGCUGGUUGGUAGGGUAAAAGCCGACCAAGGCGACGAUCCAUAGCUGGUGUGAGAGGAUGAUCAGCCACACUGGGACUGAGACCCGGCCCAGACUCCUACGGAAGGCAGCAGUGGGGAAUAUUGGACACUGGGCGCAAGCGUGAUACAGCAAUGCCGCGUGAGUGAUGAAGGCCUUAGGGUUGUAAAGCUCUUUUACCCGGGAUGAUAAUGACAGUACCGGGAGAAUAAGCUCCGGCUAACUCCGUG